ACCAUGAUGUUCAAGUUUUUAAUGAAAUGAGUUUCAUUCUAAAUACUCGAGCAACAGCAAACAAAGAUGAGUACAGAAAUGAAGGCCAACCUGACUUCCCAAGGAAUACAGCACAGGUUUUUCCCUGGUGAUGACCAGUUAGCAUCCUCAUCCACCAGGGCUUAACUUUGGUGAACAGACAGAAACCAUUGUCUCCCUUUGUUGCUUCAAACUGCAGAUCAUUCGUCUGCAGUUUUUAGCUUGCAAUUCUGGGGCUUGGUUGUCUUACACAUGGG